CGCAGUGUUUCAGGAAAAGCAGAAGAGGAGCGGCGCCAGAGCCUGGCCCGUCACUAUUUGCCUUCUUAUAUGCCGGUGGCUUCUGACGAACAGACGGACUCGGGGGGCUUCGCGCAACACGCUCUACAGAUUACACUCCAUACAAACUGAAACCUGUCACAUGACUGGGAGCAUUGGGAAAGCGGGUGACGCAACUCCUGUAAAAUGGCAAGAUGGCAGCCAUUUGCUCAGUUUGGACUCAACGAACCGGCUCUCUUCCAUUCCAAGAACGCUAACCACAACUACUCCACUGCUGAAUACGAAGAUUUAUUCUCCAAAGAAGCCUAUUGUUUUCUGUGCCAGUUCCCACCUGAAAGCUGGUGGAAUUCCUGCAUUGUUGUUAUAUUUCUUUUAAAAAGCCCAUUCAGCAAACGGUCCUGUUUCUGCCUGUUCUAUAAAAUGUGCGUUUAUUUGGUGACCACAUCUAAGCAAACAACGAGCACCAGUGUUUUAUAUGUAGGCGUGAACAAUUAUUUAGGGCAAAAGGAAAUGCUCCUGCACAUGCGCCUGACUUCCUAACACAAGCAUGACACGUUGUUUCAACAUUUGAUUUAUUUUGCCUUUUUUUUGGUACAAGGACGUCACUAAUGCGUAAAAAUGGCCUUGUAUGUGAUUACAGGGUGGGCCAUUUAUAUGGAUACACCGUAAUAAAAUGGGAGUGGUUGGUGAUAUUAAUGUCCUG
rnacentral:lncRNA from 1 species